ACGAACGCUGGCGGCAUGCCUAACACCUGCAAGUCGCACGAGACCUUCGGGUCUAGUGGCGCACGGGUGCGUAACGCGUGGGAACCUGCCCUUAGGUUCGGAAUAACUCCCCGAAAGGGGUGCUAAUACCGGAUAAUGUCUUCGGACCAAAGAUUUAUCGCCUUUGGAUGGGCCCGCGUUGGAUUAGCUAGUUGGUAGGGUAAAAGCCUACCAAGGCGACGAUCCAUAGCUGGUCUGAGAGGAUGAUCAGCCACACUGGGACUGAGACACGGCCCAGACUCCUACGGGAGGCAGCAGUGGGGAAUAUUGGACAAUGGGCGAAAGCCUGAUCCAGCAAUGCCGCGUGAGUGAUGAAGGCCUUAGGGUUGUAAAGCUCUUUUACCCGGGAUGAUAAUGACAGUACCGGGAGAAUAAGCGCCGGCUAACUCCGUG
rnacentral:rRNA from 1 species